GUAGCUGCUACCUUGGCUGGAACUAAUGAGGAUCCAUAAUAAACCCCAGGAAGAGUAGGGUUUACACAACAUUUUAUUUCUGGGUUAAACGAGAUUGCUAUUGUGGUAACAGUAGGUGUACUUUAUAGUUUACAGUUGGUGUAUUUUUGUGGUUAAAGUUGGUAUAUUUUUGUAGUUCAAGUGAUCUGAUUAUUUGUAGUAUUGCAGGAAGUGUGCUGUGGUAUGAGUUUUGGGAGUAGAUUCCAUGGGAGUUAGAACAAUGAUCCUCCAUGAUGUCACCUGCUGCGUCCUCUCAGGUACCUCAGUGGUGAUCAUUGUGUGUGUGAGUCUGGCUGUGUUGGUGUUUGCUGUCAUCCCCCUCAUGUUCUACAGGAGCUGGCAAAGCAGCAAGGAUCUAGGUGAGAUAUCAUAUAUAUCACACACACACACACACAGAGUUAUAAUAUACAGUCUAUUGUGUGUUUCACAGGGUCAAUCUCGAACAGGCCUGAUGCAGACACAGGAAGCACUGAAGAGGUUAAUGAUGAGGAAGAUGGUGAGGAUGAAGAAAAUGUAACUUCCACCCACAAUGCAGUGGCCCCUCAGCCCGUGUCUACCGCUGACCCAGAAUGCAUUGCUCAUGACCCCGCCCUCUACCAAUCAGCCUUUUAAGCACUCAACCCUAAAGCAUUGGACCAGAACCUCAACAAUGUCACAACUACUGACUCCUGAUAGACUCUGCAGCACAGAGAUCCUAUUAAAAUCUGACUAACAUUGGAAUUACAUUUGAAUAUGUAAUGAAGUUCUAAUAUGUCAUUAGAUUCUAAUAUGUCAUUCUAUGCUCUGUAUGCUGAAGAGAAGAGGUCACCUGACCCUCUGGUUUUGACCCACAAGUGCUAUCGUUACCAGAGCUGGGGUCCAAUUGAAUAGAAUUCAAUUAAAUUCAUAAAAAUAAUCACAAUUCAAUUGAUCAUUGAUGACCAUCAUUUUCCAUGUGGAAUUUCCCUUCACUUCCUGAAUUGACUGAGUUGAAACAUGUAGUUUAUGAGACUGUAACCUCGUCCCCCAGGAUCAACAGAGAGAGAGACGACUGGUGGUGGAGAUUAUAGUAGAUUUAUUCAUCAGUACUGAUACCAGUCUGUAGGGGGCGAUGUGGAGGUCGUUCUGUUGGUUUACUGAGAUCUCAGUAGCUUGUCUGUUAUGUGGUGACAUCAUUCAUUAAGGGGGGUUUGGGUUGUAGAGGAGGGAUGUUUCUUCUGUUCAGAAACUCAUCUGUUGAGUUGAUCAUUUACAAAGACUGUAUUUGGAUCAAUGACAUGUCAGAAAAAUGUAAUAAAAUAUAUUGAUGUGUACUUUAACUAUAAUGUCAUCAUCUCAACAAUGUGUUCCUCCUCUGCUGAAACAUGGUAACUUUAGUUUUCACACUUAGUCACCACACCUAGCUGAGUUCUCUUGUGGUUUAGAAAUCUAUCCUCCGGCCGGUUUGAACCAGUUUCACUCUGCAGCACAUAUAGACCUGCAGACACUGAGCUCACUACAGAGAAAUUAGGAUGUGCAGGCUAAUGCCCAGCCCUUCAUGACCACCAU